rnacentral:rRNA from 1 species
GAUGAACGCUGGCGGCGUGCCUAAUACAUGCAAGUCGAGCGAACAGACGAGGAGCUUGCUCCUUCGACGUUAGCGGCGGACGGGUGAGUAACACGUAGGUAACCUACCUAUAAGACUGGGAUAACUUCGGGAAACCGGAGCUAAUACCGGAUAAUAUUUCGAACCGCAUGGUUCGAUAGUGAAAGAUGGCUUUGCUAUCACUUAUAGAUGGACCUGCGCCGUAUUAGCUAGUUGGUAAGGUAACGGCUUACCAAGGCAACGAUACGUAGCCGACCUGAGAGGGUGAUCGGCCACACUGAACUGAGACACGGUCCAGACUCCUACGGGAGGCAGCAGUAGGGAAUCUUCCGCAAUGGGCGAAAGCCUGACGGAGCAACGCCGCGUGAGUGAUGAAGGUCUUCGGAUCGUAAAACUCUGUUAUUAGGGAAGAACAAACGUGUAAGUAACUGUGCACGUCUUGACGGUACCUAAUCAGAAAGCCACGGCUAACUACGUG